UAAUCGAUGCAGUAGGGUCACUGUUGUUCACGUAUAUGAAGCAGAAAUCUUUCCAUUUCAGUAUCAUCAUAAUAUUUUCUCAUUUGUCUGAAAGGGGAAAAGGAAGCUAUAAGUUGCAGAAAAGGCCAUCUUACUUGUACAUAAAAAGAAGAGCUUAUCCAUGCUCUCCUCAAUCCAAGGGUACUGUCGAUUGUUUGAAAGAGGCAAAGAGAAGAAACAUAUUAAAAUAUAUCCACACUCAUUACCACUUCUCAUCAGUAUUAGCUUUUGUCUUUUUGACUAUUCUCCAUGCACAGUGUUUCCACAUUUAGCUUCAAAACUUCUCCUACUUGACAUGGAUUAGUGCUAUUUGACGCACAGAUUCUCACAUCCAAAUACAAAAAUGGGGUAAUAAGUGGACGGUGCAAGGCCCUUCUUCCUUGUAAAAAGCAGAGGUAAAGUAUGGAUUAAAGAAAGAUUUAAGUGUGUUUACUUUCACUGUUGUUUCUUGGGUCCAAGAGGCUUAUAUACUGGGAAUGUUAGAUAGACCGAACCAAGGCAAAAUCCAAAGUCCUCGGGUUUCUUUCUGUCUGAACUAAUUGCUUUCCAGCACCAAACCAUGCCGAGAAAGAAGAGGAAGAAGAUGGUGCUAAGAAUCCCAAGUGUUGGAUAAUGUAACUACCCUCUUCUUCCUUCACUGGAUGCAAGGGGACACAAGGCAAGUCAUCGAGGC